rnacentral:rRNA from 1 species
GCAGUCGAACGGCAGCACGGGAGCUUGCUCCUGGUGGCGAGUGGCGAACGGGUGAGUAAUAUAUCGGAACGUAUCCAAUAAUGGGGGAUAACUAACCGAAAGGUUGGCUAAUACCGCAUACGCCCUACGGGGGAAAGCAGGGGAUCGUAAGACCUUGCGUUAAUGGAGCGGCCGAUAUCUGAUUAGCUAGUUGGUGGGGUAAAGGCUCACCAAGGCUUUGAUCAGUAGCUGGUCUGAGAGGACGACCAGCCACACUGGAACUGAGACACGGUCCAGACUCCUACGGGAGGCAGCAGUGGGGAAUUUUGGACAAUGGGGGCAACCCUGAUCCAGCCAUUCCGCGUGAGUGAAGAAGGCCUUCGGGUUGUAAAGCUCUUUCGCAAGGGAAGAAAACUUACCUAAUAACACUAGGUGAGGCUGACGGUACCUUGAUAAGAAGCACCGGCUAACUACGUGCCAGCAGCCGCGGUAAUACGUAGGGUGCGAGCGUUAAUCGGAAUUACUGGGCGUAAAGCGUGCGCAGGCGGUUCUGUAAGUCAGAUGUGAAAGCCCCGGGCUCAACCUGGGAACUGCGUUUGAAACUACAGGACUAGAGUAUGGCAGAGGGGGGUAGAACUCCACGUGUAGCAGUGAAAUGCGUAGAGAUGUGGAGGAAUACCAAUGGCGAAGGCAGCCCCCUGGGUCAAUACUGACGCUCAUGCACGAAAGCGUGGGGAGCAAACAGGAUUAGAUACCCUGGUAGUCCACGCCCUAAACGAUGUCUACUAGUUGUUGGGAGAGUAAAAUCUCUUAGUAACGCAGCUAACGCGUGAAGUAGACCGCCUGGGGAGUACGGUCGCAAGA